UAAGAAGGGGGCACGCGUUGUUCGGAAUUACUGGGCGUAAAGGGCGCGUAGGCGGCUUAUCAAGUCAGGCGUGAAAUUCCCGGGCUCAACCUGGGGGCUGCGCUUGAUACUGAUGAGCUUGAAUGCGGGAGAGGAUAGUGGAAUUCCCAGUGUAGAGGUGAAAUUCGUAGAUAUUGGGAAGAACACCGGUGGCGAAGGCGGCUAUCUGGCCCGUAAUUGACGCUGAGGCGCGAAAGCGUGGGGAGCAAACAGG
rnacentral:rRNA from 1 species